rnacentral:rRNA from 1 species
UACAGAAGGGGAAAGCGUUGUUCGGAAUUACUGGGCGUAAAGGGCGCGUAGGCGGCCUGUUAAGUCGGACGUGAAAUCCCUCGGCUCAACCGGGGAACUGCGUCCGAUACUGGCGGGCUUGAAUUCGGGAGAGGGAUGUGGAAUUCCAGGUGUAGCGGUGAAAUGCGUAGAUAUCAGGAGGAACACCAAUGGCGAAGGCAGCUCGCUGGGACGUGACUGACGCUGAGACGCGAAAGCGUGGGGAGCAAACAGG